UACAUGUCUAAUACGUGGACCUGAUCCAUAGAAGAAACCAAUCUAGAAAGACCCUUGCCACUCGACUUGUUGUUCCAUAAUUAUAUAUUUACGUGGUGAGUCGAUGACUGUGUAAAAACACGUAACAAGAUUGUUGUGAUCAUUUGAAAAGUUCUUAUUCGAUUUGGCGGCUAUGCUUAACUUGAUUGAUUUUAGUCUUGACAUUUUUGGUUGAUAGAUAUAUUAUUUUCUUGGUCGGUAUGCUUGUUUCCUAAUUCUCAUGCGUACAUGGCCGGUCCUGAGGUUUCGGGGGGCCGGGCGGAAAUCUGGGGCCCUAUAUACUUGAAAAUGAUGAUUCAUAUAUGUAUAUAUGAAGUGUUAUCAGAAAAUAGCUAAAGUGUAUCUAAAAACUUAUAAAGUGCGCAAAAACAAUAUUUAAUACCAAUAAUACAUGUAUAUUGUUUUGAAAUUUUAUUUAACCAUACUAGAUGCUGAAGUCAUCUUUACUAUUAUAUUCGAGUUCGUACGUCAUCAAAAAUGUUUGAUGUCAAAGAUUGAAGACAUCUUAACCAUUCAAUCUUACUAAACAUUCUCCCGCUUUAUAUCUGACCAUCCAUACAAUCCACCGUUUUAGCAUCUCCUAAGCGCCGAUCACCUUCCAAACUCAACAUAAGGAGCAUCAAAAUUAUGGUGCCAGAUAAGGAAGCAAACAAAUAGUAUUAAUCGCAGGAUCACCAUAGUUAAGGGAUUUCCUAGAUGGAAAGCAUACAGCCAGACACAAAUCACCGGAAUCAUUAGUACAUGGAAAGCAAUCACGACGGUCCAUGGCGGAGGAGGAGCGAGGUCUGGUCACACGAGGAUAUGAACACCAAGAUCCGUCCGCCCACCGUCCAUGGCAGAGGAGGACCAGGACGAGGUCUGGACACAUGAGGAUAUGGGCACCAUGAGGCUACUGUUGCUGACACUCAUCGAACGCUGCUACCUAGAGGCCAUCUCGCGGCUCCCUGCUCGCGACCUCCGGGUAGCCCUUGCAUGAAGCGGGCGUUCGCUAAUCUACUGUUGAUUUUCAUUGUCGUUGGAAUGCUCUCACAGCUAACAUUAUUUCAAUUUUUCCUCCAAUUUCUUGGAGAUUCUACUUAUAGAUGGGAGGUUAGGAGGAUGCACAACCAUUAACUAAAUCUUCUAUGUUAUUUACUUGUUGACUAUUGUAGCACACUGUGUUUUCAGAUCCUGAAUAAUUGUCGUAUUGCAGAUUUUCCUGCAUCGGGAGGUCAUACUAGGUCAUGUUUAUGGCAUUGGCGACGGCAGAAGUGGACAUGUGGUGGCAAUCAGCGAGGAGGAUGCCGGGCAGGGGUGCGCGGAACCAGACUGCCAGACCUGGCGGUAUUGGCGUUACUGCAGGUGCAACAGCAAUUGUUCCAUGUACAUCACGAAGGGCGAGAUCAAUGUGCAUACUCCAUUUGGGAACAUGAAGCUGUCCACAAAUAAAAUGGGUGGAUUCACUUGCCUCAAAAAGGACGAUGGACACAACAUGGGUAUACUAAAAUGAUGUAUCUGACACCUAUAUAUUUGCAUGCAUUGUGCAACAUGGAAGGAGAAACUUUUUCAUCCACUUCGCCAAUAAAGUCCAGGCUGGAUUUAUGUGAACUAGAAGCUAACAUGGUGUCAUCGAGAAAUUUUACAAGUGAAUAGAUAUAUUUUGAAAAUUUCAUCAGUUUCCUUUUCAGAAAUCUUGAGUUGGUGCAUUUCAUGUUCCAGUGAAGCGCAAAAAAAGUGAAUGGGCGAAGCAGGUGAACCUUAAGUUUGCUGAUAUUCUUUUCAUGGAUGCGAGGGAGCUUAAUUUUAUGGACGUUUUCAGAAAUAACACACCAGCAUUGGCAACGAGGAAAUGUUGUUGGAGGUGACAAAAAGAUCACCAAGUUUUACACAACAUACCUUGAGGGAAUAUAAAAACUUGUUGAGAACUCACUGGGUUUACACAACGAACAAUUGUUACAUUUGCACGGGAGUAGAGCUUAUAGUUAAUAAGAGAUGAGUAGUUUGUCCAUUAUUUGUACUGGGAGAAAAGUGCAAUGUCAAUGUACUUAAAAUGCUAUCUUGAUAUCCUUUCUAUACACUCGAUUUUUCACAUUAUUUCUA